UUCUGUACGUUGCUUUCCACGUAUUUGUCAGAUAAAGUGUGUAAAAAAGUAUUUUUGCUUUGAAUAAUAAAAGGUAGCAGUUGGAUAUAUAUAAUCAGUUCUAUUCUAUUGUUUCUAUAAACAAAGAAAAUAGUUUUAUACAUUUUUUUAUCACAUGUCAAUUAUUUCAUUUUUUGUUUAUAUAUAUAGUGUUAUAAACGUAGUUGGAAGGAAAGAGCUGAGACCAUAGUUAUAAAAAGGUUGAAAGUUAAAGAGCGACAAGAUUAUAUUUUAAAAAGAGUUAAUAAAUUAUUAGAAUCAAAAUGUAGACUCAAGUGCAAUAGUUUGAGCAACAGCAAUUUGUCAAUUUCAAGAGACUCUGAAGAAGAAAAUUUGCAACUUAAUGAAUUAAUAGAUUUAAAUCAUUAUUCUCAAAGUGAACUUGAGAUUCAAGAAGAUAUAGCUUUCGAAAGACUUUCUAAUGUCAUGAGUUUUGAUGAAAAUAUAGAUAAAAGUGAAAAUAGAGAUGAAAAUGAAUGUAUAGAUGAGAGUGAAAAUAGAGAUGAAAAUGAAAAUAUAAAUGAGUGCAAAGGUAUAGAUGAGAGUGAAAAUACAGAUGAAAGUAUAUAUGAAAGUGAAAAUACGAAUAAAAGUGAAAAUGGAGAUGAAAAUGUUAAUACAGUUUUUGAAAAUGAUCAGCAAAAGGAAAAUUAUGUAAUAUUAGCUUUACGUCAAUGGGCUUUAUCAGGUGGUGUUAUUUCUAUGUCAAAAAUAGAUGAAUUACUUGCAAAACUUCAACCUGUAUUUAAUAAUCUGCCUAAAUGUUAUAAAACUUUAUUGAAAAUUGAUGACGAUAUACAUAUUACUCACUUUGAAAAUAGAGGACAAUUUUGGUAUCGAGGAAUUAAAAAUUAUUUGGAUGGGCUUAAUUUAAAAAAGUACUUGCAAGUAAAACAAAAAAUUGAAAUAGAUAUUAAUACUGACGGACUCCCUCUUUUUCGAAGUUCAAAGAAAAAAUUUUGGCCAAUAUUAGGACAUCUCGUAGGAACUAAAAAUUAUCCAUUCAUUAUUGCUAUUUAUUUUGGGAAUUCUGAUCCAAAUAAUGUGAAAGAGUUUUUGCAAGAUUUUGUAACUGAAGUUGAUAAUCUAAUUUCUAAUGGUUAUGUACGAUAUGGAAAAACUUUUAUUUUUUUAAUUAGACAUUAUAUUCUUGAUGCUCCAGCUAGAGAAUUAAUAAAAUGUUGUAUAGGCCAUAAUGGAUAUGCUUCAUGUGAAAAAUGUACAGUAUGGGGAGAACGAUUAGAUUAUAGGCAAACGUAUAUUGAUUUACAUGCUCCUUUAAGAACUGACGAAAGUUUUAAAAAUCAAAUGCAACCUCGCCAUCAUAAAGGAGUAUCACCUCUUCUUCAACUUAAUACCAAAAUGGUCUCUCAGUUUCGAUUAGAGCCUAUGCAUUUGGUAUAUGAAGGUGUGUUUAAGAGAUUAUUAGAAGCAUGGAAGAAUUGGAUAAGUCCAUGGAAACUACACUGGACUGUUGUAAACAGAAUAUCUGAUAGGCUGAUUCUGUUAGCCCCUUCUUGUCCUCAGGACUUUGCUCGAAAACCCCGAUCUUUACAUGAAUUAUCAUUUUACAAAGCAACGGAAUUCCGUCGUUUAUGUUUAUACGAUGGCAUAGCAGCUUUUGCUUCACAUCCUGAUAUAAAUAUUUAUAAGCACUUUCUAUUAUUGCAUUGUGGAAUUUAUAUUCUUACAAGUCCCAUUCUUUAUAAAAGUUUUAACGAGUAUGCAAAUACUCUACUCAGAACUUUUAUCCAACAUUCUAUCACAUUAUUUGGAAAAUUAUUUGUUGUAUAUAAUGUUCACUCUCUUUGCCAUUUGGCACAAGAAUGUAUUGAUCAUGGUUGUUUAGAUACAUUUAGUGCCUUUCGUUAUGAAAACAAAUUAAAAAUGAUUAAAAGUAACCUCAAAUCUGGUUUUAAACCCAUUCAACAAGCAGCAAAACGUGAGCUAGAACAAAUUUGUCGUUUUGAAAUUUAUAAAUGAAGAUGUUGAUUGCGACGAGGAAGACGAUUCUUUAUUUGAAGUUGGUCUUAUUAAAUGGCUAAAACAAUUAGAUGAAGAAACAAAUGCAAAAAUUUCUUGGCCUCCUAAAUCUGAGCAGAGUACUGCAAUUAAAAAAGAAAUAGAUGCACUUCCUUCAUGGCCGAUAUAUAAUGUUACUGUUUUAAAAUGUUAUGAUACACUUUUGGCUGCACGAAAUGCACGAAAUGGAUAUAUUAUGUCGUCUAAUUAUGAAACAGAGUGUGAAUUUGGUCGUGGUAAACGUAAAAAAAUUAAGCGGCAGUUUGCAUGUGAUGAAUCUCUCUCGACAGAAGUGACAAAAAAGAAGAAAUUUAAAAAUAUUUCAACUUCUGAUGAUUCAGAUUUUGAUAGAGAUGAUAGUGCUAUAAAAAAAUAUAAAUUUAAACAUGCUCCUUCUCCGCCACUUAUCUUGUUUCGAUCAGAAAAUAAUAAAGUAAAACAAUAUCAAAACAAUAUUAUCACAGAUAGCAAAACAAAAAAAUUUGAAAGAUUACAGAAAAAUAAACAAUUAGAAAAAAA